CAGUCGCCGCGGGAAUACGGAGGGUGCAAGCGUUAAUCGAAAUUACUGGGCGUAAAGCGCACGCAGGCGGUCUGACAAGUCAGAUGUGAAAUCCCCGGGCUUAACCUGGGAACUGCAUUUGAAACUGUCAGGCUGGAGUCUUGUAGAGGGGGGUGGAAUUCCAGGUGUAGCGGUGAAAUGCGUAGAGAUCUGGAGGAAUACCGGUGGCGAAGGCGGCCCCCUGGACAAAGACUGACGCUCAGGUGCGAAAGCGUGGGGAGCAAACAGGAUUAGAGACCCCUGUAGUCCCUGUCUCUUAUAC
rnacentral:rRNA from 1 species